CCCGUGAGUGAUGAAGGUUUUCGGAUCGUAAAACUCUGUUGUCAGGGAAGAACAUGUACCGGACUGACUGCCAGUACCUUGACAGUACCUGACCAGAAAGCCACGGCUAACUACGUGCCAGCAGCCGCGGUAAUACGUAUGUGGCAAGCGUUGUCCGGAAUUAUUGGGCGUAAAGCGCGCGCAGGCGGUUCCUUAAGUCUGAUGUGAAAGCCCCCGGCUCAACCGGGGAGGGUCAUUGGAAACUGGUGAACUUGAGUGCGUAAAAGAAAAGUGGAAUUCCACGUGUAGCGGUGAAAUGCGUAAAGAUGUGGAGGAACACUCGUGGCGAAGGCGACUCUUUGGUCUGUAACUGACGCUGAGGCGCGAAAGCGUGGGGAGCAAACAGGAUUAGAUACCCUGGUAGUCCACGCCGUAAACGAUGAGUGCUUGUGUUAGAGGGUUUCCGCCCUUUAGUGCUGCAGCAAAAGCAUUACACAAUCCGCCUGGGGAGUACGGCCGCAAGGCUGAAACUCAAAGGAAUUGACGGGGGCCCGCACAAACGGUGGAGCAUGUGGUUUAAUUCCCUUGAACGCGAAGAACCUUACCAGGUCUUGACGUCUCCCGACAACCAUAUAGAGAGGGGUGUUCCCUUCGGGGGAUCAGAUGACAGGUGGUGCAUGGGUGUCAUCAGCUCCUGUCAUGAGAUGUCUCGUUCAUUCCUGCAACGAGCGCAACCC
rnacentral:rRNA from 2 species